rnacentral:tRNA from 1 species
GGGGAUUUAGCUCAGUGAUAGAGCGCUUGCCUAGCAAGCACAAGGUCCUGGGUUUGGUCCCCAGCUCCA